AAGGCUAUACUUUGAAGGAUCAUUCCUAUGGUGUUUUAUUUGAUGUGUUUGUAGAGUGUAUGGUCUUGCAAACCAACAUGGUUUGCUAUGAUAUUUCCAUUGAAGUAUGAAGCUGACAAACAGUCAUGAUUCUGUCAUGUGUUUUUUGUCAUUCAUGAUUGUUCUGUGCUUCUUUACAGAAUUGAAGUGAGUAUGAUCUGAGUCGU